UUUACACCCCUAGGUAGGACGCAACCCGCUUUGUUUAUUUCAUUUAGAAAUAAACUUAGCUUGAAAUGUGAAUCAACUAGGAUUUAAACUUGGGACCUCGGGUACCAACCACCAAACUUUUUGCCACUUGCUCUAGGGACGGCCAGUGUAUUUUGAAUUUUUUUGCUAUCGAUUUUUUAGUUGUUAGAUCUACACUUUAUCAAUUCCACUAUUUGAUCAUACUAUUCAACCAGCCACUCACUCAACCCUCGGGGGACCACUAUCUUCCUAAUUCUAUAAUUUCUCAUUCAAAGAUUAAAAACUUAAUAGCAAAAGGACCCAAAUACUAUUAAUAGUAUUUCAAUCCAAUUCUAUACACACACUCUGUAGGGGGGAUAAAUUGAGUUUUAUACAUUUACGUUUGUUAAAUAUUAAAUUUUAUUGAACAAAAUAUAGGUAUAUUAAGUUUGAAUAGGAAUGUAAAUCUUUAGUUGCAUAGUGUGUUUUAUAUAUAUAUAUAUAUAUAUAUAUAUAUAUAUAGUAGGGCUAUUAUACUAUUAUGAGUAUAGAGCCAUUCGUACUCAUAAGUUGUUUUCGAUGUUAUGGUUUUCGAAUCGACGAUCAACACCGUUAAAUAUGAUCUACAGUAUUUGAGACUUCUAGAAAAUAAAUUUCGUAAUUUUUCGAAAUUAUUAUAAAGUCCAUCAAGCAGGUAUAAAAUGAACGGUCAAAAUCGAAGGACAUCUUAAAAAUGGAUGAUCGGAUCCUUCAAUUUAAGAUCGAAGUUAUUGAUCUUUAUUUAGGUAGUGAAUAGAAUUUUCUAUCAAAAAUUCAACAUAUUCCGGUUCUUUUACACCGUUAAACUAGCAAAUAUUCCAUACCGAUCGUUAAAAAUUGUCAAUUUUGUGAGCUUUUUAUCGUAGGGUAAAUGAUAUCGAAAAAUUAUAAAAUUUAAUUUCUAGCAGUUUUAAAUGCUCUAGAUAAUGUUUAACGGUAUGAAUCGUUGAUUUAGAAGCUCUAUCAUCGAAAACAACUUAUGAGUACGAAGUUGAUCGUACUCAUAAGAGUAUAGUAGCCGUACUCUAUAUAUAUAUAUAUAUAUAUAUAUAUAUAUAUAGAAUUGCGCUCCUAUGCUUUUAAAAGCACCAAGUCAUUGGUGCUUGUAAGUUUUUAGCCCUUGGAUUAAGGGAUGUGCGGUUAGGAUGAUGUGGGUCCCCUAGGGUUAAGUGGGUGGUUGGUUGAANNNNNNNNNNNNNNNNNNNNNNNNNACUUUCGAUAUUGUUCUUUUAUCCAUCAAGUGAACAGAAAAAUGAAUGGCUGAAAAUGAAUAUUCUUUAAAAAAUGAUGAUAGGAGUCUUGUAAUCAAGAUCAAGAGUAUAGAUCUUGUUUUAAAUAGUUUAAAGAAUUUUCUAACAAAAAUUCAAUUGAUUUGGAUAUCUUUAUGCCGUUAAACGAGAAAACGCCUCUUAUCGACCAUUAAAAUUACAAAUUUUGAAACCCUUUGAUCAUUAGGCAAAUGAUAUCGAAAAGAUUUGAAAUUUGAUUUCUAAACACUUCAAGUGGUAUAGAUCAUGUUCAACGGAGCUGAUCGUCAAUUUGAAAGCUCUAUCAUCGAAAACAAAUAGGUAGUAAAACGGCUCGUUUACUAUUGAUAGUAUUCUAGCAAAACUCUCUCUCUCUCUCUCUCUCUCUCUCUAUAUAUAUAUAUAUAUAUAUAUAUAUAUAGAGUGAGGUUACUAUGCUAUCGGAAGCACGGAGCCUUCCGUGCUUCCAGCUCGUUUUUUAUGUUGCGAUUUUUGAAUUGUCGAUCGGCUCCGUUAAAUUUGAUUUAGAGUAUUUUGAGUACCUAGAAAAUAAAUUUUAUUAUUUUUCGAUAUCAUUUGCCUAGUGAUCGAAUUGGCUCAAAAUCAACAAAUUUCAAUGGCCGUAGUGAGCCGUUUGCAAGUUUAACGGUGUAGAAAUAUCCAAAUCACGUGAAAUUUUGAUAGAAAAUUCUUUAUACUAUAUAAAACAAGAUCAAUAUCUUUGAUUUAAAAUUUUAAUGUCAUAUUAUUACAUUUUGUAAGAUUUUUAUUUUCAGCCGUUGAUUUUGAGCCCCUUCGUUCACUAGGCAAAUGAUAUCGUAAAAUCAUAAAAUUUAUUUUCUAGGUACUUCAAAUACUCUAGAUCAAGUUUAACGAAGCCGAUCGACGAUUCGAAAGUCGUAACAUCGAAAACGAGCUGGAAGCAUGAAAGGCUUCGUGCUUCCGAUAGCAUAGUAGCCUCACUCUCUCUCUCUCUCUCUCUCUCUCUCUCUCUCUAUAUAUAUAUAUAUAUAUAUAUAUAUAUA
rnacentral:lncRNA from 1 species